rnacentral:rRNA from 1 species
UGGGGAAUUUUGGACAAUGGGCGAAAGCCUGAUCCAGCCAUGCCGCGUGAGUGAAGAAGGCCUUCGGGUUGUAAAGCUCUUUUAGUCGGAAAGAAAGAGUUGCAAUGAAUAAUUGUGAUUUAUGACGGUACCGACAGAAAAAGCACCGGCUAACUACGUGCCAGCAGCCGCGGUAAUACGUAGGGUGCGAGCGUUAAUCGGAAUUACUGGGCGUAAAGGGUGCGCAGGCGGUCUUGCAAGUCAGAUGUGAAAGCCCCGGGCUUAACCUGGGAAUUGCGUUUGAAACUACAAGGCUAGAGUGCAGCAGAGGGGAGUGGAAUUCCAUGUGUAGCAGUGAAAUGCGUAGAGAUGUGGAAGAACACCGAUGGCGAAGGCAGCUCACUGGGUUGCCACUGACGCUCAUGCACGAAAGCGUGGGGAGCAAACA